UCCAAAGUUUGGAGCUGUGUGCGCCGCGAGGGUGGCGGCCGUUGGGCGACCGCGGAGUAAUGUGGGGGCGGCUGGCUCACUCUGGCUCGUGGCUGGCUAGCUACUACUGGCGAGACCGCGAGACUGAAGCUUUGAGCUGGUCCCGUAUGAGCGGAGAGACCCACUGCAUUGAAGGCCUGCUCAGCACCUCGGCCGCAAUGGAGAUGUCAGGAAUGGUCGAACCAAUUACACUAUUUUGAGCUUAAGCCACAAUAGACCUUCCACGGCCCAUCUCAUCACACGGUAUAGCCUGUUAAGAUUAUUGCGGGCGAAUAAGUUCAUCUGAGGGCCCUUAACUUAUCAAGAAUCCGAUUUUGAUCCUUCAAUCGGAAAACAAUACGUAACGGGUCCCUCAACUAUCAAAACUAGUGCAAAAUAAGUUCCAAUGAUGGUUUGGACGGCGGUUUCAGCUGACGUGAUGUCUAUGUGGCUAAUUUGACUCGGUCUUCAUCUGACGUGGCAUUGACAUGGCGCUUACGUGGCAGUUUGGUUUGGCAAAUAAUAUAAUCGUGACCCUACAUGUUAGUGUCGAUGGGGAUACUCGUAGACCAGAUGAAUAGAGUAUUGGGGUACGUUGGUACAAGGAUUUAUACGAUAUGACAUCAAGCAAACAAGAAAACAAGGAUUAUACUAAUUCGGGCCUUCGUAAGGUAGAAGCCUUAAUCUAGUUUAUAUGAGAUAGAUAUGGAAAUACCACAUAUUACAAUAAAGAACCGACGAUCCUGAUAUUACCGGCGAGAUCCCUUGUCGAGAUGGUUUCGAUGAGAUCUCCCGGCAAGUAGGCUUCACGUCCUCCGGAUUGUAGGCUAUGGCGAUUGUGUUUGGCACUAUGAUUCAAUGAUCUGAACCCCUCUAAGUGGUGUGCCUUUUAUACCCUGAGUCAUCUUAGUCUCAAAGUAGAACUCGAAGACAACAGACCCUACACUAUAUAGUAUCAACCCAAUCCUCUUUGAGUAGGACUCUAACAUUCCUCUUCUUGUGAGGAUAAUUUCCAUAACAGCUUGUGAAUUUCCUUAUUGUAUACGGAAAUACAUCAUAUAUACAAAGGUAUGCCGUAUCCGCAUAUUCGAUAAGUCGUAGGAUUUGAGGAAUACUUUAUUUUUAACCAUGAUAGUUAGUUACACCCAAAAAAAAAUAAAAAUGGUGGGGCCCACGGGGGCUCCCUCUUUCCUCCUCUCCCCUCUCUUCAUCGGUGAUGGUGAGUCUACGACAUUCGACCGGUGCGUGAGGCCCUCGGCUUGCCCGAGUGAGUCGAACCCGCCGAUGAACGCUGCGGCUGGCGGGAAAGGAAUGGCGCGUAACGGCCAUCGGUGGCAGAGCGUCGGAGGAGGAUCACGUCGACGUCGGAUGCCGCGACGUCGGGGCUCCAGGUUAGGUCGACGAAGGGCAGCGACUCCCAGCAGCCCCACCAUGCACAUGAGAGCACCGAGGUGCGAACCACCUCGUAGAUGUGAAGGCGGUCGAUGAUGUUGUCGAGGACUUCGACGUGGAGCGCACCCAGCGCAUCCGGCGGCAACUCCGCCUUCACCGCCGCUAGCUGCCUCUUCUAGGUGGGCAGGGAGGCUACCAUUUCUUAGUGCUUUUCCCAAAUUCGCGUGCGUGCGUCCCCGUCUUACCCUGCGUGCUUUGCUUCCUCCCUUCCAGAAACCCUCUUCCGCCUCCAUCACCACGAAGCCUGCAAUCCAUGGAGGUCGACGGCGUAGCCCGCCCCUUCCUCCUCUUCUCCAAGCCCAAGUCCAGCAAGAAGAAACCCAAGCAAGAAGCUGAGCCCCAGCUAGAACCCCUAAACCCUAGCUCCGCGUCAUGGAGCCCGAACAUUGUGACUCCAACUAGGCCCUACUGUCGUGGCCACCACCGCCGCCGCGGAAUCCGCUAUGGUGCUGUCCACCUUCGUCGAACUUGGGCUAUCGCAAUGGCUAGUGGAUGUGUGCGAUUUACUAGGGGAUGCAUAGCCCCAUGGUCGUGCAGCGGCAGUGCAUCCCGCGGGUGCUUGAGGGGAGGGACGUGUUGGGGAUCGCGGAGACGGGGAGCGAGAAGACACUGCGUUCACGCUGCCCAUCUUGCACCGCCUUGGCGAGGACCCUUUUGGCGUCGCGCUGUCCUAUUGAACCAUGGCACCAGCAACUCUGACGUCCCAAAAAGGAUCAUUUAUGGGAUAAGUUUUUCUAGGAGUUUAUUUGUAAAAUUAGUUUUUGAAAAGGACCAAAUUGUAAAAAAUCCAAUGUGGUUGGUUGCAUGCGCCGGUGCAUUAGGGUUUUCCGCCUCUAGUCAAAUAGAUCCUCCAGCGUAAGCUUUUUUGGCAUCCAAUCUCAAGUUGUUCCUACUUCAAUUCUCUAUUCUCUUAAGGAACAAAUUGGUAUAAGUACGAUAAUGUAUGGAUAGGAAGGAGUGUAGCAGGCUAGCGGCAAUAUCUUUCUUAAUAUUUGACAAUUUUAGCUUUCUGAUUUAUGGCAUAUUCAGAUUGUAGCCAAAAUGAACCUUACAAGUUUUGGCAAUACCAAAAUUAUAGCAAGACGGCAAUAUUGCCAAAAUUUUGGCAGGAUUUCUUAUGUAUUGGUCAAAUUUGGCAACAAACUAAACGUAUAUAUUUUUUUUGCAACUUUGACAAAUAAUGGUAUGGUUGAAAAUGACAUCAAAGUGAACAUGCCCUUAAACUGUAUAGAUUUUCUCUCGUCCAUCGUUUUGUACCGCACGGUACCAGUACCAUGAGGUACCAGUCUUCAUCCGGCCGUUGAUUGCUGAGGGGUACGAUGGGGAUGGGAGUAUGCGCGAGGUUCGCUCCGGUGUGGGGUCCCAACGUUUCUAGCUACGUGCGGCUUCGUUUAGGUCAUCCCCAUCGCAUCUCACGAUACCGUCGCCCAUCGCAUCUCACGCUAGCGCCGCCGCACGGGUGUUCAUCUGAGGAGGAGGGCGAGCGCUUCUGUAACCGUCGCCGUACGGGUGGUGACAUCCUGGCAGCGCCGCGGCCGCAGGAGUCGUCGCCGCCGCCGCUGCAAGGUCCGCCGCCGCAGUGGCCGGCGGUGCAGCUGCAAGGGCCGGUGCCAUACGCUUCAAGGUUCGCCGCCGCCGUGGCCGGCGCAGCAGCUGCAAGGCCGGCGCCAUCCUCUGCGCCAUCCGCCGCAGUGGCCAGAGGUUGACCAAUGCGAUACUUUAAUCUGGGUAGACCAAGAUGGCAUCCAAGAGUGCAGAAGGCAUUCGAGAAGCUUUGGCUUGCAUUGGAUCGUACUAGCAUGACAAAUCCAACCAGGCGGCAAUAUGAAUGGUCUAACUAUAUUGAUAGAGCGAAAGUUGAGGAAGACAAAAUGAAACUUGAAUUUGAGAUGGCUGCCAGGAUUUUGGCUACCGAAGCAACAUAUAAGAAAAAAAUUUCAAAGCUCAAAAAAGAGGCAGACCACGCUAGAAGUUGGUUCAUGGGUUCCCUAGUUGUUAUUGUAAUUCUUAUGUACAAGAUUUCAGAGUAUAUGUAUCACUGUUGACUAUAUUAUGUCUGAGCUGUACUUUGCUACCUGCAAUUUAACAUAUCAAUUUUAACAAUGCUUUUCGGAUUUCUCACA